UACGUAGGAUGCAAGCGUUGUCCGGAAUUAUUGGGCGCAAAGAGCGUGUAGGCGGCCAGUUAGGUCCGUUGUGAAAACUCGAGGCUCAACCUCGAGACGCCGAUGGAAACCAACUGGCUAGAGUCCGGAAGAGGAGAGUGGAAUUCCCGGUGUAGCGGUGGAAUGCGCAGAUAUCGGGAAGAACACCCGUGGCUAAGGCGGCUCUCUAGUACGGUACUGACGCCGAGACGCGAAAGCGUGGGGAGCGAACAGG
rnacentral:rRNA from 1 species